rnacentral:lncRNA from 1 species
AUCUAAUAUAAAAGAUUAACUUAAAUUCCCAUCAAGGACACUCUUAAUGGAACCAGAUCUUAAAUUUCUUAUAGUGUGUUAAGUGAGGAUAAUAGAAAAUUAAUAUUUUCUUAUGAACACUUGGUUGGUACUAGUAAGUUAUAUGAAUAUUUGCUAAUAUUUAUGAAAACCAAAUGCACCCAAAGUUUCUUAUCUGCAUCAGCAUAAACCAAUAUAAGAAGAGACAAGAAGCAAACUUUCUCAGAACUUUGGAACCCCUUUUUCUCACAAUGGAGUUUCAACCACUUCACAUGUUUGGCCUUGCAAUAUCCUUUUUCCUCUUCAUGAUUCUAGCACUCAAAAUAGGGACCAAUCUGAAGAAAACUGAGUCAUCUCAAAAAAUACCACCAGCACCAUGGAAGCUACCUGUUAUAGGAAACAUACACAAUGUUCUUUCAACUACACCACACAGAAAAUUAAGAGACUUAGCCAAAAUAUAUGGUCCCUUGAUGCAUCUCCAACUUGGNGAGNUCUUCACAAUCAUUGUUUCCUCACCAGAAUAUGCCAAGGAGAUCAUGAAAACCCAUGAUCUCAUCUUUGCAUCAAGGCCUCAAAAUUUAGCUUCUGAUAUAGUGGGUUAUCAAUCCACUGGUAUUAUUUCAGCACCAUGCGGAAAUUAUUGGAGGCAGCUGAGAAAAAUAUGCACAGUGGAGCUUUUAACCCAACAACGUGUCAAUUCAUUCAAUCCAAUAAGAGAAGAAGAGUUCACCAAUCUUGUCAAAAUGAUUGAUUCACAUAAAGGCUCGCCCUUCAACCUCACUGAAGCAGUGCUUUCAUCAAUAUAUAACAUCAUUUCAAGAGCUGCUUUUGGCAUGAAAUGCAAAGACCAAGAAGAAUUCAUAUCAGUGGUAAAAGAAAGCCUCACAGUUGCAGCAGGAUUUCACAUCGGAGAUCUGUUUCCUUCUGUUAAAUGGCUUGAACUUGUUAGUGGUUUCAGGCCAAAGCUUGAGAAUCUGCAUCAAAAAUUUGAUCGGAUACUAGGAGACAUCGUCAAUGAACACAUAGAAGCAAAGUCAAACGCCAGUGAUGGCCAUGUUGAAGCAGAGGAAGAUUUGGUGGAUAUUCUCCUAAAAUUCCAGGAUGGUAAUGAUAGAAACCAAGAUAUUUGUUUAACAAUUAACAAUAUCAAGGCUAUAAUUCUGGUAAGAACAAUAACAUCUCCUAAACCCUUUCUUUUAUGAAGAUAAUUCACCCUUUCUAUAGAACUUUAAAAAGGUUUAAUACUAACACUUUAUAUAACACCUUAGACAUGAGCUCUUCAAAUUAUGCAGUAUGUGGUAAUUUUUGUGUGAUCUUAUCUGAUGCUUUCUGCAAUUACUUUUUGAUUUUGACUCCUUUAAAAUGAGGGAUUCCUUUCAUCAAUAUUGGUGAGUUAUAACUGAUAAUGGGAAUUCUUGAUCAACUUCACAGUAUAGUUUCUCAUAGAGUGGAAACAAUUUAUCACAGUCUGAACAGUUUACCUUAUAAUCCACGUUUCUAUUUAUGCACUAUAAAGUAUACUACUACCCACAAGAGAAAAAUAAAAUCCACAACUAUUGUUUUGGAUAUCUUUACAUUAGCCUAAACUCAGUGAUAAUUCAUUGUAGGACAUAUUUGGUGCUGGAGGUGAGACAUCAGCAACUACAAUAAACUGGGCCAUGGCAGAAAUGAUUAGGGAUCCAAGAGUAUUGAAGAAAGCACAAGCUGAGGUGAGAGAGGUAUUCAAUAUGAAAGGAAGGGUUGAUGAACUAUUCAUGGAUGAACUCAAAUAUUUGAAAUCGGUUGUAAAAGAGACCCUAAGGUUGCACCCACCAGCUCCUCUUUUACUUCCAAGAGAAUGUGGACAAACAUGUGAGAUUAAAGGGUACCAUAUACCAGCCAAAAGUAAGGUAAUUGUGAAUGCUUGGGCAAUAGGAAGAGAUCCAAAGCAUUGGACUGAUGCAGAAAGGUUUCAUCCAGAGAGAUUCACUGAUAGCUCAAUUAGCUACAAAGGGAUUAAUUUUGAGUACAUUCCAUUUGGUGCUGGAAGAAGAAUAUGUCCAGGUAUCACCUUAGGUUUACUAAAUGUUGAGCUGGCCCUUGCAUUUUUGUUGUAUCACUUUGAUUGGACACUUCCAAAUGGAACUAAAAGUGAAGACUUGGACAUGUCUGAGAAGUUUGGAGUCACUGUUAGAAGAAAAGAUGACCUAUACUUGAUACCACUCACUUCUAGUCCUUUCUUGGUACCAUAAUCAUAUAACAAUUUGAAUUUGUUAUGACCCAUUUUGAUAGGAGCGACUCCAAUCUUCAAGAAGGAGUGGCUCCUUGGACCAAAGUUGGCAGCGGAAUGGAGAUAACAAUGAAAGUGAUUGCUAAUGAUUCUGGCUGGAAACAAAUGAUGGCACUCAAAAGGAUCCUAGGAGAGGCUUUAGAACAGAUUAUAAAAGCAAUAAAAGACUCAAAACAUUGAUUGAAUUCUGUGCAAUGCAAUUGUUUGAUGGAAAUUUAAAACUGUUUGAUGAAAUGCCACAAUGAACUACAGUUUUGGUAUUUUUCUGAUUUUUGAACUUUCAAGAGUGGAUUGCAGGGUUUAAAUUGCUUUUUAUGAAUGAUAUAUGGUAUAUGGAUCAUGUAAUGGUAUAUGGAAACAGAAACCCAGCUUUUGCCAAUCCAAAAUGCACUUUAUCUAUGGUUAAAAAUACCAAACAGCAAGCAAAGUUUACUGCAGUGGCAAAAUGAGUAGAAAAAUGGGUGGUUUCAGUGGUGAUUAUGAAUGGAAGUGGUGUGAAGGAGGAAAGUAUACUUCCAGCAAGUUUUAAUCAUCAAUUUCAACCUGUGAAAGUUAUAAAACAGCCAAGAAAAGAGGUAGUGCAAAAUAUGACUUGUGCACUUGCCAAAAGUGAGCAAAAUUUGGUGAUUUAACAGGUAUUUAUCAGUUUGGCUCAAAAUUUACCAUAUGAACAGUAACAAACCAAUUUCAAUUCACCAAAAAUGACUGCCUAGGCAAAGAAACAGAUCCAAAACUGUAAGGAUCUCAAUAUGAGGUGUACACUUGCAUAUUUCAAGCAAAAAUAAUGAGUGAAUAUGUGAAUUGAUGUUGUGGCUGAGAAAAGAUCAAAUAGACCAUGCACACAAGUUUUAAAUGGUCAAAGAAACAUGUUCAAACAGCUAGUAUGCACAGAAACAGUCAAAUGCACAAAAUCACUAUGAUAGUUGUGAUUAUGCAGCAAAAUUUGACCAAACAGCAGCAGAAUUGAGAAAUUUAAUGGAAUCAAAGCUGGCUGGAACAAGAAACAUGUAAGAAAUACCCUAAACACUAGAACUAGCCUCAGAAUUAUAGCUAGAAAAUUGAAACAUCCUAAGAUUCAACAAUUAAAGCAACACGGUGCAAAGUUGGAAUAACAAUGACAGUAGCUGUGCAGCCUCGGUGAAAAUUAUGUUAAGAGUCUCCAUUCUAGUAAGUGAAGUUGGGGAAUCAACUAGUUCAUGAUAUUUAUACCAAACAAAACUGUAUUAUCUUUCCUUUGAAGAUUACUGUAAAUAAAUACUAUAUUAUCUUUCCUUUGAAGUGUUAUCUUGUUUAUUAUCUUUGAAGAAUGUACAAAAGAAUGAACGUUUCAAUUUCUUUCACAAGAUGAAAAAGAUUAUGAAAUAACUUAAGCAUUUUAUAAUAAUAUCUUUAAAAUAAAUUUUACUCAUCCCUGUUGAAACGUUAAAAGUUAAAUAAAAUAUUUUAUGAUAAUUAAAAACAAAAUCAACUAAUUUAGUAAAAAGUAAAAGUAUAAAUUUUAAAGUUUAAAAAGACAAAGAAAAACUCAAGAAUCAAAUGAAAACUCGUUUAUUUUAUAUCAGCUUUGAAAGAAGAAGAAAAAGGACAUUUUAAAGUUUUACUUGACUUUGAAGUGAAACAUUAUGAUUUUUGAAAGUCAACCAUCAUACUAUUGACUUCCUUGAAUGCUGGAGAAAUCACAAGGUAUGUCACCAUUUUCCUAGCACUAAAUCCUUAUCCCCAUCUAAGCCAUGUUACCUCACUUUAUUUUAACCUGUAAUUACCAUUUCUUCAUCUCCUUAAACAUAAAAUUCUAAGAGUUACAUAUUUUCAUUCUUUAUUCAAUUCAUGAUCCUUCAGUUUUUAUCCAGAGAUCCAAUAUACAAUAUUAAUAAGAUCUUAGUCAAAUCUACGUAAAAAAUUAAAAAAUCAUUUCUAAUCUAAAAUCUUAUAAACAAAGAAUAUAAGAAGAGACAAGAAGCAAACUUUCUCAGAACUUUGGAACCCCUUUUACUCACAAUGGAGUCUCAACCACUUCACAUGUUUGGCCUUGGAAUAUCCUUUUUCCUCUUCAUGAUUCUGGCACUCAAAAUAGGGACCAAUCUGAAGAAAACUGAGUCAUCUCAAAAAAUACCACCGGGACCAUGGAAGCUACCUGUCAUAGGAAACAUACACAAUCUUCUUUCAUCUGCACCACACACAAAAUUAAGAGACUUGGCCAAAAUAUAUGGUCCCUUGAUGCAUCUCCAACUUGGGGAGGUCUUCACAAUCAUUGUUUCCUCUCCAGAAUAUGCCAAGGAGAUCAUGAAAACCCAUGAUCUCAUCUUUGCAUCAAGGCCUACAAUUCUAGCUUCUGAUAUAAUGGCUUAUGAGUCCACUGAUAUUAUGUUUUCACCUUAUGGAAAAUAUCGGAGACAGCUGAGAAAAAUAUGCACACUGGAGCUUUUCACUCACAAGCGUGUCAACUCAUUCAAUCCAAUAAGAGAAGAAGAGCUCACCAAUCUUGUCAAAAUGAUUGAUUCACAUAAAGGGUCACCCUUCAACCUCACCGAUGCACUACUUUCAUCGGUGUAUAACAUCAUUUCAAGAGCUUCGUUUGGCAUGAAAUGCAAAGACCAAGAAGAAUUCAUAUCAGUGCUAAACGAAGCCAUAACAGUUGGAUCAGGUUUUAACAUUGGAGAUUUGUUUCCUUCUGCUAAAUGGCUUCAACUUUUGAGUGGUCUGAGGCCUAAGAUUGAGAGGUUGCAUCAACAACUUGAUCACAUACUAGAUGGUAUCAUCAAUGAACACAAGGAGGCAAAGUCAAAAGCCAGAGAAGGCCAUGGUGAAGCACAGGAAGAUUUGGUAGAUGUUCUGCUAAAAUUCCAGGAUGAUAAUGAUACCAACCAGGAUAUUUACUUAACUAACAACAACAUCAAGGCUAUAAUCCUGGUAUGGAUAAUAAUAACAUAUUCUAUAUCCUUUCUCUCAUGAGCAUAAUCUCACUCCCUUCUCUAUAAACUAGACAAAUUUUCUAUACUAAAUCCAGAAUAUAUCUUGUUGGAGAUUUCAUAGAUAAGACGAACUUACUGUGUAUAUAAGUGUAUACAGAUAUUCAUAAUGAUCUUCCAAACAACAGCUCACUUUAUACUAACAAAUCAAUUGUAUGACUAUCUAUUUGGAGGUCUUGAUAAUCACUUUACAGGACAUCUUUGCUGCUGGAGGUGAGACUUCUGCAACUACGAUAAAUUGGGCAAUGGCUGAGAUAAUAAGGGAUCCACGAGUAAUGAAGAAAGCACAAGCUGAGGUGAGAGAGGUAUUCAAAAUGAAAGGAAGGGUUGAAGGAAAUUCCAUGAAUGAACUCAUGUAUUUGAAAUCAAUUGUGAAAGAGACCCUGAGGUUACACCCUCCAACUCCUCUUUUACUUCCAAGAAAAUGUGGACAGACAUGUGAGAUUAAUGGAUAUCAAAUACCAGUAGAAAGUAAGGUAAUUGUGAAUGCUUGGGCAAUUGGAAGAGAUCCAAACUACUGGACUGAAGCUGAUAGCUUUUAUCCAGAGAGAUUCAUUGAUAACUCUAUUGACUAUAAAGGGACAAAUUUUGAGUACAUUCCAUUUGGUGCUGGAAGAAGAAUAUGCCCAGGAAGCACCUUUGGUUUAGUCAAUAUUGAGGUUGCCCUUGCAUUUUUGUUGUAUCACUUUGAUUGGAAGCUUCCAAAGGGAAUGAAAAAUGAGGACCUGGACCUCACCGAACAAUUUGGAGCAACUGUUAGAAGAAAAGAAGAUCUAUACUUGAUACCAGUCACUUUCCAUCCUUUGCUGGUAAGAUAAACAAUUUAUUUUUGUAUUUUGGUUCAUUUUAGUUUAACCGAAGAAUUUAUAAUGCUUUUUCCAUGAUGUUUUCUUCGUUGUUAUCAUCAUAUAUUGGUAGGGAGGGAAUUGUAAAUAACUAAACCUUACAAAACUGAGAUUUGUACCGUAAAUUAAUUUUAUCUCUAUUUCCAACCGUAGCAUUCAUAACAUUAAUAUAGAUGAACAUCAUAAAUGUCUUACCAGUAGUACUAUUAUACGAUUAUCAUUCGAUUGGUACAGACAACAUAAGUAUACAAGAAGAAACGUGUAUAUAACAAUUGACAGUACCGUUAUCUGAAAUCUGGUUUUAGAAUAGGAGAAUAACAGAAAAAUUGUCAAAUGUUUUGUGCAGGGAAAUGGUGCAGACUGCAGAGUUAGGAAAAAUCAGUUCCAGGAUUAAAAGUACUGAAGUUGAUGGCACAUAUUCAAUCUGAUGCAGAAACUUUUCAUAUUCUGUAAUGAACUUAUCAAAUGUAAAAUGUAUCUUAACUUUCAUCAUAUGUAUCUUUAAUUUUUAGAGUUGAGAAUCAUAAGGCACUUCAAUGUUUUGGACGUGUUAUUUGAUGGUGCCACGAUACCAGAACACAUGCGUUCAUAACAAAAUGACAAAAAUACAUUUAAACAUUUCACGGAAACUAUAAAUGAAAGAAUACGAUUUCCCAAUGCUUUCCAUCAACACUGUAAAAAGACAAAUUUUAAAAGUUGUGGUCAUUGUGAUUCACAAUGACAUUAGCAGAAAACACAAAAAAGAGACAAAGACAACCAAAUCCUCAUCUUUAUCAAGUCUUAGUUCCCUCACCAUUCUCUUCCAUCACCAUGGAUUCUCAACUGCUUAAUGUAUCAGCUCUUUUCCUCUCCUUUCUCCUCUUCAUGAUUUUGGCACUUAAAAUAGGGACCAAUCUCAAGAAAACUCACUCAUCUCCAAACAUACCCCCAGGACCAUUGAAGCUACCUGUCAUAGGAAACAUACACAAUCUUCUUUCAACUACACCACACAGAAAAUUAAGAGACUUAGCCCAAAUAUAUGGUCCCUUGAUGCAUCUCCAACUUGGGGAGGUCUUCACAAUCAUUGUUUCCUCACCAGAAUAUGCCAAGGAGAUCAUGAAAACCCAUGAUCUCAUCUUUGCAUCNAGGCCUACAAUUCUAGCUUCUGAUAUAUUAUCUUAUCAAUCCACAAAUAUAAUUUUUGCACCCUAUGGAAACUAUUGGAGACAGCUACGAAAAAUCUGCACAGUGGAGCUUUUCACCCAAAAACGUGUCAGCUCAUUCCAGCCAAUAAGAGAAGAAGUACUGACCCAUCUUGUCAAAAUGAUCGAUUCACAUAAAGGCUCUCCCUUUAACCUCACUGAAGCAGUGCUUUCAUCGGUAUAUAACAUCAUGUCAAGAGCUGCGUUUGGCAUGAAAUGCAAAGACCAAGAGGAAUUCAUAUCAGCGAUGAAAGAAGCCGUGGAAAGUGGAUCGGGUUUUAACAUAGGAGAUCUGUUUCCUUCAGCUAAAUGGCUUCAAAUUGUUACUGGUUUGAGGCCUAAGCUCGAGAGACUGCAUGGACAAGUUGAUAGGAUAUUAGGAGACAUCAUCAGUGAACACAAAGAGGCAAAGUCCAAAGGCAAAGGAGGCCAAGGUGAAGCAGAGGAAGAUUUGGUAGAUGUGCUUCUAAAAUUUCAGGAUGGUAAUGAAAGUAACAAGGAUAUUUGCUUAACUAUUGACAAUAUCAAGGCUAUAAUCCUGGUGAGGAUAAUCUUCAACCCUUGAUACACUUUAACA